UAAAAACAAUUGUUUAGAUAUUCUCAGUUUAAAAUUUAAUAAGCACCACAUUGUUUGUUUGAUACAAAUUUUUUUUGGAACAACAAUCCACGCCUUCAUACCAGCUAAUAGCUAAUCGAAUAGCACGCUAUGAAGAUGCUUUAAAGGCUGGUGUAGUCUAUAAGAUUAAGAACUAGUCAUCAACAACAAAACAAGUUACAAGGUUGCUUCUUACAAAUUCUUAAUUCAGUUCACUCAGCAAACUUUUAUUGACCAAAAGGUAUAUAAAAGUUGAGGCUAUAAGACAUUGGUUAUUUAGUAUAUAUACUAUAUAAAAG
rnacentral:lncRNA from 1 species